rnacentral:rRNA from 1 species
AACGCUAGCUACAGGCUUAACACAUGCAAGUCGAGGGGCAGCAUGAUUGAAGCUUGCUUCAAUUGAUGGCGACCGGCGCACGGGUGAGUAACACGUAUCCAACCUUCCGUACACUCAGGGAUAGCCUUUCGAAAGAAAGAUUAAUACCUGAUGGUAUCUUAAGCACACAUGUAAUUAAGAUUAAAGAUUUAUCGGUGUACGAUGGGGAUGCGUUCCAUUAGGUAGUAGGCGGGGUAACGGCCCACCUAGCCUACGAUGGAUAGGGGUUCUGAGAGGAAGGUCCCCCACAUUGGAACUGAGACACGGUCCAAACUCCUACGGGAGGCAGCAGUGAGGAAUAUUGGUCAAUGGACGAGAGUCUGAACCAGCCAAGUAGCGUGAAGGAUGAAGGUCCUACGGAUUGUAAACUUCUUUUAUAAGGGAAUAAAACCUCCCACGUGUGGGAGCUUGUAUGUACCUUAUGAAUAAGCAUCGGCUAACUCCGUGCCAGCAGCCGCGGUAAUACGGAGGAUGCGAGCGUUAUCCGGAUUUAUUGGGUUUAAAGGGAGCGCAGACGGGUCGUUAAGUCAGCUGUGAAAGUUUGGGGCUCAACCUUAAAAUUGCAGUUGAUACUGGCGUCCUUGAGUGCAGUUGAGGCAGGCGGAAUUCGUGGUGUAGCGGUGAAAUGCAUAGAUAUCACGAAGAACUCCGAUUG